UUUAAUUUUUUAAUGAAGGAAAAUUCAUCCUUUUAAUUAUUCCAAACCAAUCCAGGCUCAAAAACCUUCUUCAGGAAUGAGACUCAAAAAAAGAGCAAUUCAGAGAAAAGUAAACAGACACAAACACAGAACAGCUAUGCCCAGUCCGCUGGCCCCAGAGACGGUAAAUGUGGGCUCUGGGUACUUGGCCACGGACUGAGAUGAGAACCACUACCACACACACUGGGCUGCCUGCCUCAGGCACAGGCUUGUCAGCCCUUUUGUUCCCAAACCUCUCCAUGCUCCCAAGCCUUUUGCUUUCCCGGUUCUCUAUCUGAAGUUUCUCAUUUGUUUUUUUCUGGGGAAAGCCAACCUGGGAGUGGAGGGUGAGGAGAGACCUCUUAUUAACUUGCUGUGUCCUUGGGCAAAUGACUCUCUCUCUGGGGCUCAGUUUCCUUCUCUAUAAAAUGAGUAAGCUGGACUAUUCAUUUACAUACUAUUCAUUCAUAGUCUGCCUGCUUUCUACUUGGAGGUAGGGAAGUCAGACUAACGGGAUGCUCAGGACCCUUCAAAUUUUAGGAUUUUACUUCCUUUAAUAUAGAAAAGUAACUUGCCCCCAGGUGUUAAGGGGAGGAAAUACAUCUGCAAGGUAACCAGACUUUCUGUAAGUGUGUCUUCAGUAAAAAGUCAGGUCUGUUGGCAAGCAGGAGGAGGAGAGAACUUUAGAUUAUGUGGCUGACCCCUCAAUUCACCCCCUAAGUUGACACACAGGGAAGGCUUUAUGACAUCAGCCCAGGUACCAAAUGAGAAAAAUUCUAGAGCCAAGUCCUCUCAAAAUUUCCUACCUUACUCCCCACAAUAGGUUCUGGUUGAAGAAAGAAGCACUUUUUCAAGGAGGCUUCUUUUGGAAACGGCAGAAAACAACUUCACCUGAAGAAACAGACCAUGUCUUCUAUAGGACACAGCAAGGAACAAGGAGAUAGACCUGGGUUUCAAUUCUGGCUGGGUGACCUUAAGCAAGAAGAGGAGAGGACACACAAUGACACACAGUGGGAAGAUGGCCCUGCAGAGAUGGGGACUGAGUUAUGCUACCACAGCUAAGGAAUGCCAAGGAUUGAUGGCAACCACCAGAACCUGGAAGAGGCAAAGAAGGAUUCUUCCCUAGAGCCUUUGAGAAGGAGAAGAGCCCUAAAACACCUUGAUUUUGGACUUCUAGCCUCCAGAACUGUGAGAAAAUUAAUUUCUAUUGUUUUAACCCACUUGCCUUUGGUACUUUGUUACGACAGCCUUGGAAACUAAUACAAUGUGUCUAGCCAAAAAUAUGGACAUAAGCCCUUUCUUGCAUGUGUGACUCAAAAACUAUUUUAUAUUUAUAGAUAUUAAGUAUAGCUAUCUGUACAGCCAUGGAAAAAUUCAGAAAGAUGUAUAUCAAAUUAUUACCAGUGGUUGCUUGGGUGGAAGAGUUAGAGGGAUAGAGGUGAGAAAAUUCACUUCAUUAAAAGUAUAUUUUUAAAAAUCAAAAAUCUCAUACCUCUUUUUUUGUUUUCGUAUGUAAGCGUUUUUUUUGGCUGCGCCGGACGGCAUGUGGGAUCCUAGUUCCCUGCUAGGGAUUGAACCCUCGCCCCCUGCAUUGGAAGCACAGAGUCUUAACCACUGGACCGCCAGGGAAGUCCCUGUAUGUAAAUGUUUUAUGUUAUUUUCCAAAUAAAAAUGUCUUUGGAGGGAAUUCCCUGGUGGUCCAGUGCCCAGGACUCCACAUUUUAACUGCCAAGGGCCCAGGUUCAAUCCCUGGUCAGGGAACUAAGAUCCUGCAAGCCGUGCGGCAUGGCAGGGGAGAGGGGCGGAAUAGAUAUAUGUAUAUGUAUAACUGAAUCACUUUGCUGUACACCUGAAACUAACACAACAUUGUUAACAACUAUGCUUCAAUAUAAACUAAAUUUUUUUUUUAAAAAAAAAGGUCUUUGGAAACCAUGAAAACUCAAGCUGAGAUUGUUACCUUUUAAUGUAGAGUUCAGUCAUCUUGGAAGGCAGGCCCCUGGAGAGGUACCCGACAGAAGAAGAGGCACUGUGGCUAGGCUGGCGGCCAGCCAAGGAAGAGGGGAGUGAUGAGGAAAAAGGAUCACUGGAAAGGGGUAGUUUAUACCAUCCAUCUGAAUUAGGGGAGCACACUGCAAGAGGAAGAGCUACUUUUGAUUUCUCUGCAGGCUUCGUCCUCCAGGUGGAUAAAGAAUGUGCUUAUAUUUGGUCUGAAGAACUGAGGAAUGGCCAGGCAGUGAGUAGGGGGCAGUGUACAGCUGGGGCUCUUUCUCCCCUUCGCAUAGAAUUUCCAAAAACAAGGAGAAGUGCCCAGACUUCAACUUGGCCUCCAUCUAUCUGAAAAGGUUU